GCGGGGGUGGGAGAGCGGCCAAAUCCGCUAGCUUGAGGGGCUAGUCCCUUAGUGGGUACGCGUGUUCGAAUCACGUCCCCCGCA
rnacentral:tRNA from 1 species